rnacentral:rRNA from 1 species
GACGAACGCUGGCGGCGUGCCUAAUACAUGCAAGUCGAGCGGACGGAUGGGAGCUUGCUCCCAGACCGUCAGCGGCGGACGGGUGAGUAACACGUGGGCAACCUGCCUGUAAGACUGGGAUAACUCCGGGAAACCGGGGCUAAUACCGGAUAACUCUUUCCCUCACAUGAGGGAAAGCUGAAAGAUGGCAUCUCGCUAUCACUUACACAUGGGCCCGCGGGGCAUUAGCUGGUUGGUGAGGUAACGGCUCACCAAGGCGACGAUGCGUAGCCGACCGGAGGGGGUGAUCGGCCACACUGGGACUGAGACAGGGCCCAGACUCCUACGGGAGGCAGCAGUAGGGAAUCUUCCGCAAUGGAGGAAAGUCUGGCGGAGUAAGGCCGCGUGAGUGAUGAAGGUUUUCGGAUCGUAAAACUCUGUUGUCAGGGAAGAACAAGUACCGGAGUAACUGCCGGUACCUUGACGGUAACUGGCCAGAAAGCCACGGCUAACUACGUG